UGUCUGGCCCAACACCCAAGCCUUUUUCUCAGAGCGGCAUUUCCCGAUCCUAGAUUGUUGGGGAGGCAUCUAUAUUUUCGAUAAAUAUCACAUUAAAUGACGUAAAUACCCUUAUAGCCUUUGGGAGGGGCAUCAUCAGGAUUAGGGUUUCGUGCUCUCUUAAAACCCUAACCUCUAUAAAUACCCAAAGACGGUCUUUUGUUCCCUCUUCCCCAACCUCACUAUAACGCAUUAAAGUGUUUACUGAAGCAAAUUGGUGAAGUUUCCAGGGAUUGAGAGCGAAGAUGAGAGCUAAGUGGAAGAAGAAGCGCAUGAGGAGGCUCAAGAGAAAACGCCGAAAGAUGAGGCAGAGAUCUAAGUAAAAAGGAGUGGAGUGACGGGAUGCAAAGAUGGCUCGUCUUACCUAUUGCCUCCCUUCUUUUGUCACCGUCAUGUUUUGAAGGAAGGCUAAUAGGGUAGCUGAGGGCUGAGUCAUCUUGGUUUCUAUUCUCUUCUCUGUUUUGCCGUCUUAGUUUUAGACUAAAACUUACUAGGCUACUACUUUUGGUGGUUCGUUCAUUUAGUAAGAUGUUUAUGAUAAUCUGGUUCUUUCAACUUCUUCAAUGGAAAUUCUCUUUUGAGACUUGUUUUUUUCA